GCACAAAUGGAUAGCUUAGUUGGUAGAGCAUGAGACUCGUAAUCUCAGGGUUGUGAGUUCGAGCCUCAUGUUGGGUA